UCCCUGUAGGCAUUUGAGGGACAAACAAAUGAAGAAAUGGUGAGCCCUCCUUCUGAUUUUGAAAUCAAUAAUAACAAAGGAAGGAGCGAUUAAGAGGUUCAGAGAGGUAAAUUCAAACAACGAUCUUCUCCUGGAACUAAUUGUGGAGGAUAAUUAAGUUGAAGUGGACAGUGUUGUUACUUCCAAAGCUCAAUCAGAAGUCCUUUGAAUUCAGAGGAGCAAGUCAAGAGAGGUCUCCAAAGUGGGAAGUCUGGACUGGAGCCCCACCCCAGUGCAGAAGAUGAGGUUUGAGGACAAAUCUUUGAAGGUGCUUUCACUCAAGUCAUCCCAGCUCUCUGCCCUUCAGGGACUGAGAAUUUGAUACCAGAAGACAUAUUUUACCGGCUUUUAUUUAAUUUCUUUGUUCCCAGAAGGAAGUAACUAUAAUUCACCCUAUGGGCCAUGUUAAUAUCUCCUUAUAAUUUUGAAGUCUUCUAAAAAUAUUUGUUGUUUGCUUCUUAAAGCACUAGAAAGGAGUGAAUCUCGGAUGCAACU